CUAACGACUUGGAUCGGGAAUAGUAGGCAGUGAGCCCUUCAGAGAGUGGAAUUGAUAUGGUGUGAAAUUCCGCAGGAUUGUGAGCUGUACCGAAGUCGCCCGUGAGUUGCCCUUUUGAACUUUCUUGUAUGAUGAGGAAGCUAGAAUGCGGCCGGUAGCAGCCGUUAUCUGCCUAAUGAAGUGUCAUAUCGAGCUUAAUGUUUUCUCUUUUUACAAGUGAAUUCGGACCUGCUCGGCUAUGAAACAAAGGUGGUACCGCGAAAGAAUGGCCUUUCGUCCUUUGA
rnacentral:ncRNA from 1 species